rnacentral:rRNA from 1 species
GAUGAACGCUGGCGGCGUGCUUAACACAUGCAAGUCGAACGAAGCGCUUAAGCUGAUUUCUUCGGAUUGAUUCUUGAGUGACUGAGUGGCGGACGGGUGAGUAACGCGUGGGUAACCUGCCUCAUACAGGGGGAUAACAGUCAGAAAUGGCUGCUAAUACCGCAUAAGCGCACAGUACCGCAUGGUACAGUGUGAAAAACUCCGGUGGUAUGAGAUGGACCCGCGUCUGAUUAGGUAGUUGGUGGGGUAACGGCCUACCAAGCCGACGAUCAGUAGCCGACCUGAGAGGGUGACCGGCCACAUUGGGACUGAGACACGGCCCAA